AGGGUUUGAUUAUGGCUCAGGAUGAACGCUGGCGGCGUGCCUAAUACAUGCAAGUCGAACGCGGGCAGCAAUGCCCGAGUGGCGAACGGGUGAGUAAUACAUAAGUAACCUGCCCUUUACAGGGGGAUAACUAUUGGAAACGAUAGCUAAGACCGCAUAGGUAAAGAUACCGCAUGGUAAGUUUAUUAAAAGUGCCAAGGCACUGGUAGAGGAUGGACUUAUGGCGCAUUAGCUAGUUGGUGAGGUAACGGCUCACCAAGGCGACGAUGCGUAGCCGACCUGAGAGGGUGACCGGCCACACUGGGACUGAGACACGGCCCAG
rnacentral:rRNA from 1 species